rnacentral:rRNA from 1 species
GACGAACGCUGGCGGCGUGCUUAACACAUGCAAGUCGAACGAUGAAACCUAGCUUGCUAGGUCGAUUAGUGGCGAACGGGUGAGUAACACGUGACUAACCUGCCCCUUUCUCUGGGAUAACGCUUCGAAAGGAGUGCUAAUACCGGAUACUCACAUCGAGGCACAUGCCUUGAUGUGGAAAGUUUUUCGGAAAGGGAUGGAGUCGCGGCCUAUCAGCUUGUUGGUGAGGUAACGGCUCACCAAGGCGACGACGGGUAGCCGGCCUGAGAGGGCGACCGGCCACACUGGGACUGAGACACGGCCCAGACUCCUACGGGAGGCAGCAGUGGGGAAUAUUGCACAAUGGGCGCAAGCCUGAUGCAGCGACGCCGCGUGAGGGAUGAAGGUCUUCGGAUUGUAAACCUCUUUCAGUAGGGACGAAGCGAAAGUGACGGUACCUAAAGAAGAAGCACCGGCUAACUACGUGCCAGCAGCCGCCGUAA